CUGGUUGUGGUGGUGCACACCUGUAGUCCCAGCUACUCAGGAGGCUGCGGUGGGAGGAUUGCUUAAGCCCAAGAGGUCAAGGCUGCAAUGAGCUGUGAUCGCACCACCGCACUCCAGCCUAGGUGACAGAGCAAGACCGUAUCUCAAUUUAAAAAUAAAAGGGCCAGGCUCGGUGGCUCAUGCCUGUAAUCCCAGCACUUUGGGAGGCCGAGGUGGGUGGAUCACUUGAGGUCAGGAAUUCAAGACCAGCCUGGCCCAACAUGACGAAACCCUGUCUCUACUAAAAAUACAAAAAUUAUUUGUGCGUGGUGGUGCACAUCUGUAAUCCCAGCUACUUGGGAGACUGAGGCAGGAGAAUAGCCUGAACCUGGAAGGCAGAGGUCGCAGUGAGCCGAGAUUGCACCACUGCACUCCAACCUGGGCAACAGAGCAAGACUGCAUCUUGAAAACAAAAACAAACAGAAAAUAAUAAAAAGGGCAUAUUGUGAACAACUUUAUAAUAAUAAAGUUUCACAAAACCUAUGUGAAAUGGUCAAAUUCCCUAAAAGACACAAAUUACCAACUCAUUCAAGAAAAAAUACAAAACUUAAACAGUCUGAUAAUCAAUUAAAUAAAUUGAACUUAUAAAUAAAAACCUUCCCAUAAAGCAACCCCAAGUUGACAUGGCUUCAAUGAUAAAUACUAUCCCUCAUUUAAGGAAAAAACAACACCAAUUCUACACAAACUCUUUCAGAAAAGAGAGAGGGAACACUUCCUAACUUAUUUUAUACAAGGCUAUUAUUACUCUGAUUCUAAAAACAGUCAAAAGCUUUACACACACACACAUAUAUACACACACACACACAUAGACACACACAAUCCCUGCAGACAGGCCGGGCGCGGUGGCUCACCCCUGUAAUCACAACACUUCGGGAGGCCAAGGUCGGUGGAUCAUGAGGUCAGGAGUUCGAGACUAGCCUGGCCAAGAUGGUGCAACCCCAUCUCUACUAAAAAUACAAAAAUUAGCUGGGCAUGGUAGUGGGCACCUGUAAUCCCAGCUACUCGGGAGGGUGAGGCAGGAGAACCUCUUGAACCUGGGAGGCAGAAGUUGCAGUGAGCCAAGAUCAUGCCACUGCACUCUAGCCUGGGCAACAGAGCAAGACUCCAUCUCAAAAAAAAAAAAAAAAAAUCUCUGCAGACCAAUAUUCCUAACUAUCAUAGACACAAAAAUCCUUAACAAAAUAUUAGCAAAUUAAAUCAAACCAUCUAUAGAAAGAAUAAGGCAUCCAGACCAGGUGGGGUGUAUUUGGGGAAUUCAAGAUUAGUUUAACUUCUAAAAUGAUUUAAAAGUUGGUGAAUCAAUAUGAUUCACCAUAUUAAUAGAAUAAAAAAGAAAAGUGUAUGAUCGUUUCAAUAGAUAUGGGGAAAAGCAUUUGAUAAAAUUCAAUACCCUCUCAAUAAAAACUUCCAGAAAAUUAGAAAUAGAAGGGAACUUUCACAACCCGAUUGAGAGCUUCUACAAAACAAAAACAAACCAAAAUUUACACCUCAUAUCAUACUCAAUGGUGAAGGACU
rnacentral:lncRNA from 1 species